AGUUGAUCAUGGCUCAGGAUGAACGCUAGCUACAGGCUUAACACAUGCAAGUCGAGGGGCAUCAUGGAGUUUGCUUGCAAACUCUGAUGGCGACCGGCGCACGGGUGAGUAACGCGUAUCCAACCUUCCCUAUAGUAGAGGAUAGCCCGGCGAAAGUCGGAUUAAUACUCUAUGUUUUCCGUUGCAGACAUCUAAGAUGGAACAAAGGCUUGCCGCUAUAGGAUGGGGGAUGCGUCUGAUUAGGUAGUCGGCGGGGUAACGGCCCACCGAGCCAUCGAUCAGUAGGGGUUCUGAGAGGAAGGUCCCCCCACAUUGGAACUGAGACACGGUCCAAACUCCUACGGGAGGCAGCAGUGAGGAAUAUUGGUCAAUGGGCGAGAGCCUGAACCAGCCAAGUAGCGUGCAGGACGACGGCCCUAUGGGUUGUAAACUGCUUUUAUGCGGGGAUAAAGUUCACUACGUGUAGUGUUUUGUAGGUACCGCAUGAAUAAGGACCGGCUAAUUCCGUGCCAGCAGCGGC
rnacentral:rRNA from 1 species